UUUAGAAUUGAUGGGAAGUAAGUCCUCUGGCUGUUGUAAAUAGCCACUUUUUCCUCCUGAUACUGAGAAUUGAACCUAGGGCUUCAUACAUGCUAGGUGAGUGCUGUGCCACUGAGCUAUACUCCCAGCCCGUAUGAACACAUUUCAAUCAGCUUUUUUUUUUUUUUGCUGCUAAGAAUUCUCAAAGCUUGUAAUGGAGUAUUUUAUUUAGAUUUCAAAGUGUGGUCAUUUAGCAUUCAUUCCAUGAGGUAGACAAGCUGAAAACUUGAAUAGCAGCCUUUCACAGGAACACAAACAAAGCGGACAGGGUAGGCCAUUGAAUGCAUCAGCAUUGCUAACGUGUUUCAGGUUGCCAUGACAAGAAUCAUGGAGCUGAGAGCAGCCACAAUUUGGCCUGCUCACAAGAACCAGAAGAUUGUUCAUGUUGUUCAAGUCAGUAUUUUUUUUUUUAGUAUUAAAAAAAUGAGAUGUGAAAAUUUUGUUUUUGUUAGAUGACAUGUUGAUAGCUGCUAGUGCUUUGCAACCAAAAAGAUGUCACUUUUUAAAACAUACUUUUAUGUUUUGCUUUGCUUUGUUUUUAUACUCAGUAUAAAUCAGGAAAAGUUGGCCAAUUACCUAGCCUUUAGCAUAGUCUUUGUGUUUUCUUCUAAGGAUAUGGAUAUCCCAUAACAGCAACAAAACAUCAAUAAUAAAACCAUUUUAUAAAUAUCACUUGCUUCUUAAGCUCCUGCUUAACUUUGAAUGUGUCUCAAAUAUUUGCUACGUAUAUUCAAUAAAGCAUGCAAAACAUAACAUGCAUUCCAAAUUGUCUUCCCUGUUAUGAUUUAACAGCUAAACUGUACAAGCUUAGGUGAUCCUGGCAUAUAUUAAAGAUAAAUUCAAAUGAAUGUAUAACACACAAAAAAGGAGAAACCCUAUUUGAAUGAAGUAAUGCUUUUGAUGAUAAUAACCUUGGCUUCAGAUAUCCUUCAAAUGCACAGUUACACUGUAUUCUGAUUGUUUAUAAUAAAGAAUACCGUACACUGGCAUGUGUUUUAGCUCAUUUUUCCUACAAAAUUCAUAACAGCAUUCACUGUAUGUGGAUCUUCAGGCCCUCACCACAAUUAAUCUUAAACCAUCCUAAUUUGAAAAUAGAAC
rnacentral:lncRNA from 1 species